UAGGGAAUCUUCGGCAAUGGGGGCAACCCUGACCGAGCAACGCCGCGUGAGUGAAGAAGGUCUUCGGAUCGUAAAGCUCUGUUGUAAGAGAAGAACGUGUGUGAGAGUGGAAAGUUCACACAGUGACGGUAACUUACCAGAAAGGGACGGCUAACUACGUGCCAGCAGCCGCGGUAAUACGUAGGUCCCGAGCGUUGUCCGGAUUUAUUGGGCGUAAAGCGAGCGCAGGCGGUUUAAUAAGUCUGAAGUUAAAGGCAGUGGCUUAACCAUUGUUCGCUUUGGAAACUGUUAAACUUGAGUGCAGAAGGGGAGAGUGGAAUUCCAUGUGUAGCGGUGAAAUGCGUAGAUAUAUGGAGGAACACCGGUGGCGAAAGCGGCUCUCUGGUCUGUAACUGACGCUGAGGCUCGAAAGCGUGGGGAGCAAACAGG
rnacentral:rRNA from 1 species